CUCGCGGCCUAUCAGCUUGUUGGUGAGGUAAUGGCUCACCAAGGCGUCGACGGGUAGCCGGCCUGAGAGGGUGACCGGCCACACUGGGACUGAGACACGGCCCAGACUCCUACGGGAGGCAGCAGUGGGGAAUAUUGCACAAUGGGCGCAAGCCUGAUGCAGCAACGCCGCGUGAGGGACGACGGCCUUCGGGUUGUAAACCUCUUUUAGCAGGGAAGAAGCGAAAGUGACGGUACCUGCAGAAAAAGCACCGGCUAACUACGUGCCAGCAGCCGCGGUAAUACGUAGGGUGCAAGCGUUAUCCGGAAUUAUUGGGCGUAAAGAGCUCGUAGGCGGUUUGUCACGUCUGCUGUGAAAACUGGAGGCUCAACCUCCAGCCUGCAGUGGGUACGGGCAGACUAGAGUGCGGUAGGGGAGAUUGGAAUUCCUGGUGUAGCGGUGGAAUGCGCAGAUAUCAGGAGGAACACCGAUGGCGAAGGCAGAUCUCUGGGCCGUAACUGACGCUGAGGAGCGAAAGGGUGGGGAGCAAACAGGCUUAGAUACCCUGGUAGUCCACCCCGUAAACGUUGGGAACUAGUUGUGGGGUCCAUUCCACGGAUUCCGUGACGCAGCUAACGCA
rnacentral:rRNA from 1 species